rnacentral:lncRNA from 1 species
UGGGCGCUGCACGGUUCGAUGUCGGCCAUGUUAUAGCGUGCACAGGGAUAGGCGGAGGUGCGGUUGGCCGACGAAGGAUAGAAAUGAUGAACAGCUAGCGCAGAAACAAAAUAAAGAAAAAUGGCUCACCGGGGAAGGGCUCGCCGGAAGAAACAACUUCGUGCGUGGCAGGGACCCCUCGACACAGCGACGAGUGCGGCGAGACCUCCAGCUAGGAUAUCAGUCCUCUCUCCACGGUGACAAAUGACGCGACGACGAGCUCUGCAUGGGACCUCUGCUCGACGGCGGGCGCGGCACGGGGACAACUGCAUGAUGCAAGGGGUGGUUGUUGCAAGGUUGAGUGACAAAGAGUAGGUGUCGACUGUUUGAAUGGGACUAUGGGAGCGGCUAUAACGGACCAUUACUAAAUUCUUGGGUCGUGGCCAUAUAGUGCGGUAGAGGUUCUUCCCACACGAAAGAGAUGGUGGUGGGACUGCGGCGCAGCAGCCGAGCGCGGCGCUAGUGCUUCCCCCACGCGUGUGAGCAGGUAGAUAUGGAUAUACAUAUAUGUUUAUAUGAAUAUAUCUAUUUAUAUUAGAUCAUGUCCCAAUAAUUUAAUUUGAUAGUUUUUCCUUCUUUCGAGUGUGAACACCGCCAAGAUCAUUUUAGCAAACAGAAAGAAAAUGUACCUCGGCAUAAAAUGAAAUACACAUAUUUAUUUAAAAUAGCAUCUAUAAAUUCCAUGUUAACUCCCCGUUUAAUAAAAAAACAAAAGAGGAAAAGAAAGGAAAAGAAAAGGUAACACCUGAAUUUUGAGUAUAGAGCAAAGAAAUUUUUAUACCCUAAAUUUAGGGUGUUACAAAUCUAACCCUCUUAACAGGAAUCUCGUCCUCGAGAUUCAAGAAGAGGCUAGCAAGAAAAUGUGAUUGGUUUAUUGGUUUUUUUCGUAGUUUCUUCUGACUCAACUUUGACUCUGGCAACUUUAACUUGCGGACUGGUUGCUUUGACCUUUAGAUGCUUGAGACCGAUUGAUGUAAUUCGUGAGGAUCUCUUGGACCUGUGGGUUAGGACCCACACACGCUUUCGCUACACCACUCUGAUCUUGUUGGUUGAUGUUGGUCGCAUUGUCUUCAUUGGGGUUAGCGGCUAACCCCCUUAACAGGAGCAUUGAUAUGCACUUGAUGAAGACAUUGCCAACUCUGAUCUUGACUGAUUAAGAGAGGUUGGAGGUUGCCAACUGGACAGGUGCAAGAGGAAAGGCUACAAAUAGAAAAGGUAAGCAUAGAUGAAUUAAAGAGAGAAAAGGGAGAGCACCCAACUACCUAACUCUAUGGCACUCAGCUAGCGAACAGAUGCUAUUGCGAACCAAAGGCCACAACACAUCAACACUCAUUCCAAAGAAGCAAAUUAGUCAUAGUAGAAGGACAAACAUCAUGAGCACACAGCAACAAACAUCUCGUUGCUAUACGUUCCUUUCAAUUAAAUGGUGGUCUUUUCUUACAAUGUGGAAACUACUUUAAGGCCAUUGAAAAACAAGGGGAGCGAUAAAACAUGCAGGAUAGGGGCAUGAGCAUAGUAAAGGAUGGAGCUAAAGCAAUGAUUGUAACCGACAAGGGAGAGAACGCAACCAAGGUCAGGAUAGGUAAAACACCAUUCUCAAAUCGAGAUGGGAAAGAUGAUAAUUCAAAAGGUAGGCAUAAGAUAAGCAUCAUAGAAAGAUCCAGUGAUUACAAAGGUACAGGAGGUAAUAGGCUAAAGCACAUCAAAAGAUUGAGUUAAGACAAGACUUGCCACACAACAGAGGAAAAAGGGGACGAACAAGAGCGGGGAGGGGUAAGACAACACUCUUGAACUAGAACGAGAGAGGGGGCUUUAAAAUGCAAGGGCGGGAUAAGCAUCAAGGUAAAGAUCGAGGGACACCAAGGGUGAGGGUGAUAACGAGCAAACACACAACAAAGGAUGUUUUUAGGCAAAACUAGCAGGGUGUCAAAGAAGGGGAGCAGUCAAUGAUGAAAUAGAUGAGGCAUUAUCCCCGAACAGGGAUGGAAAAGAGGAGGUUUCAAAGGGUAGGUUCAAGGUAAGCGUGAAGGUAAGGGCAUAGAUAUCACGAAGGUUUAAAGUUGAUAAUGGAUAAGGGUGUAGGAGAGGAGGUAAAUGGGCAUAAGAACCAAGGAUAUAAGUACCACCAAGUAUGGAGUUAAGACAGGACCUGCAAAUGGAAAAGGAGGGGGUACGUCCAAGGGCUAGAUGGGUAAGUUGCCACUCUCAAAUUGAGGUGGAAGAGAGGGGAUUUUUAAAGAGUAGGAAUAAAGAUGAGUAUCAAGGCAAGAUCGAAGGACGACAAGGUGAGGGUGAUAGCAAACAAAAACACAGCAAGAGAUGGAAUUAACACAAAACCUGUAAGGAGACAAGAAGUGAAAAGAAAUCAAGGGAGAGAUAGGUACCUCGCAACUCUCAAACUGGGUUGAAAGAAAAGGGAGGCUUUUAAAGGAUAAGUUCAAGGUGAGCAUUUAGGUAGAAGACCUCCAUAUCGCAAGGGUCAAAGGCGACAACAGACAAGGGUAUAAGGGAAAAGAUGAAGGCAUAGUAGAGCCAGUGGUACAUGUACAACCAAGAAUGGGGUCAUGAAAAGACUUGCACAUGGCAAAGAUGAGGUUACGAACAAGGGCAAUAUAAGUAAAACACCACUCUCAAACUGAGAUAGGAGAUUGGAGAUUUUAGAUAAUAUACAUAAUAUAAUCACAAGGUAGGAUAGACAGAUGAGAAGGGUAAAGGUAAUAACAAACAAAAGUAGGCAAAGAAUGGAGUUAAAAAACUCGCAAGUGACAAAGAAGAUACGUCCAAGAGAAAAAUAAGUAAAACAUACAACUCUCGAAUGGAGAUGGAAAAGAGGAGAUUUUAAAGGGCCAGUAUAAGAUAAACAUCAAGGUAAGAUAUAGAGGUGAUAAGGGUAAAGGUGAUAAUGAUGAAAAGCAUAAUCCAUGGACAGAGCUAAGGCAAGAAUCGCAAAGUGACGAAGUGGAGAAAACAAACAAGUAUAAGAUAAGUGAGGUUCCGACAGAAGAGUUGAAGUAAAAACUCAUUACCGAAGGAAGUUAUAAGGAAUUAGCGAGAUUGUUAAGGUUGUGCAAAAUAAAAUGACCACUCAUGGAUCAUUAAGAAACAAGGGUGGUUAAGGGCAUGUUAACUGAAAUGUCUUGAACAGUCAUUGGGGUAUGAAGGAUAAGCAUACGUAUAAAAUAUAAGAGUAUGCAAGGCUCCAAGGACACGAGCAUACUAAGACCAAGGGAAUAGAAAUUGUUGAAAGGUAAUGACUUAACAACAAAAUAGGAAGGGAUCUCAAAAGACAGGAAGGUCAUGAAAAUAUAAACUGAAAUGUAAAAAAAUAGGCAACCGAGUUUUUAGGGUUAAGUGUUUGAAUUAAGGGGUAAGGGUACGGAAGAAUCCAAAAGAUGCAGCAUGUCAAUACCAAGGGAAUAAAGACUACCAAACGGUAGCAACUUAAAGACAAAAGAGGAGAGAACCCCAAAAGAUAAGAAGGUUAUGGUCAGAGGCAUCUACAAAGAUGUCGCAAGCACAAGAGUAAGAUUAGAUCUAAUAGAUUGAGAGAAGUAUAGACCAUACUAGAAUAAAAUACUUUUGGCAAGGGGCAUAUAGGGACGCAACAUAGAAUUAGUCGAGGUGACUAAUAUUUUGAAGCAGAAUCAAGGAUGAGGUGAAGUAAUAAUCAAUAAGUCCUUAAAACGGCCAAUGCUACUCUAGGUCAGCGGUCCUACAGUCAGCACGGCUUUGAUACCACUUAUGUCACACCCAGUUUCAGAAGGCAAACCGAAUGCGAACUAUGUACGUGCCAGGAUCAGAAUUCACGUACACAGCGAUUACAUAAAUGAACAUCAUCGCACAGUGCUCGAAUAAUAACAUAAAAGGGUAAUAACUUAUUACAUCACAGAGUCAUAGACAUCCACAUAGUCAUCAACUUAACAGUUAAAUCAAAGUGCUAGCGAAACGCAGUAAAGAUAAGGCCUUCACAGGCAGCUGACUGGGGGUUGCCGCCAACCCACACCUAGAAUUCGUCGUAGUCUUGGAACUCCUGGAAGUCUCCUUCCACGACUUCGUCUUCUCCUGAGCAGUGGUUGCAAUGUGGACAACCUGGUGUUUUGUGGUAAAGCAAGGAUGAGUACACAUCAACGUACUCAGCAAAUGCCCCGUUUGGCUGAAGUGGACUAGCUUUAUGUGGGGUUAGGCUCAAGCAGUUGCUUUUAGUUGAUCAGGUAUUUAUUAUUAGUGAAGCCAGGUUUUAGCAAUAACUAACCCGUGAAUCAUUUCCUCAUCGAGGAACAUCAUUAUCAUCAUCGAACCAAAAUCAUAUACGGAACCAUUGUAUCUCGAACCAUUUGUAUCUCUAAUCAAAGAGGAUCCCAAGGCUGCUCUUAACCGUGAGCACGGCUGAUAUACCAGUUUCACUACCCUCUGCAGAGGUCGCACACUUUACCCAUGAGCCGUGAUUCCCUCUCUAGCCCGGGCUUGCAAGGCCCUUACUCACUCCCAAGGUGAAUGGCCAGGGAUUCACUACGAAGCCUUUACAAAGAUUCCCUAGAGGUCAUAGCUGCCCGUUAGGUUUCUCCAGUUUGAUAAACACAGUACCUCUCCCCGCAGGAGGGUGACUAAAAAAGCAAAACGAAAGAACCUCGACACUCAGCCUCGGUAGAGCAAGCACUGUUCCUGGACCCCAUUGACGGCACGACGGCGAAGCAACUACACUUCUAGUUCCUCUAAUUAAUUAGCUAAGGGCACCCCAUUCCACCCUCAUGGUUGCACUGUUAUCCCGGGUGGUCUCUCAACGAACAGGUCCUUACGGAGAGGUACUCAGGAAACAGCCUGAGCCCCCUAGAGUAUCCCAAGAUCAACAAUAUAAUCAGGAUAACAGUAUCAUAAAUAGUCACAUCAUGUUCUUUGAUUAAGUUAAGGCAAUAGCAGAAUGCUAACCACGAUAACCCAAAAGGUGAACAAGGAUAAGGUAAAUAGAAAGCUAGUCAAUCCUUAGGUUUCAAUUAAGUAAUGCAGGACAGUAUAUUAUAAGUGAAAUGGACAUAAUGGGUCAGAGGACACUUGUCUUCACCAAACAUAUGCUCAGGGUCUUCAACUUUAUGGAACUCAAAGAGCUAGAUCACAUGGUUGCCAACGGUUGAUCUUCGAUUCCUCAAAGCUCGGAAAUGAAUCGCGAUCUACUCGCAACGCGAAGCGAAGACGAACAGGCACAAGCAAACAAACAUUUACUUGCAUAAGAACAUUACACCAUACAAGAUAAAAUAUUAUAAAAACGAGCAAUAUAAAAUAAAGAGCGCUUCUACAGUUACGCGAGGAUAAGAAACGCGUCGAUCGGAGCUACGGUCAACAAGUUAUCGCGUUUAUGCUAAACGAAUAUGAACUAGGACAUUUAAUUCGGCGUUAUCAAAUAUAAAUUGUAGCUACUAUUUAAUUAAAACGAGAUUCUAAGCGAGGCAAAUUUACGGCGAGCGAAACAACAUGACAGCGUGCGACUGACGCGCGGACACACGCGACAUAACACGGUGAUGACACACGAAAUAUUUCGUGCGACCAGCGCGGAUAAUGCGUGAAUCAGCACGCGACCACAAGAACAUCACGCGCGAACAGUGCACAAACAGUGUGACGACGUGAUAAUCGCUAACAAAUACGCGAGUACACUAAACAAGUAUUAAUUAGAAUAUUAGUUCGGCAUAAUUAUAAUUACACAAAUUGACAUUAUCAUAUCAAAUAUAAAUUAAAAGUACUACUUUGCUUUGACUAUCUUACUAUUUUAAUAGUGGACGAUUAAACAAAUAGUUAAUUAAUUGACAUUAGUGAUUAUAAUCGAACGGUUAAAUAUCGCAUGCUCAUAGCGCGGGACACGCGAAACAGCACGUGUGACAUGCGCGAACGACGCGCGAACGACGCGACGACACGCACAACACGUGCGAACAACGCGUGACACACACGAAUGGCGCACGGGCUCAUGCGACUUAGCGCACGGACAACGCACGACAUGCAGAAAUGGCACGCGACAACGCGUGCGACAACACGUGCUAACGACGGCGCGCACGAAUAGCGCGCAGACAACACGCACGCGGACGGCGCGCCAGGAUCACUAACCAAUAUCGCCUUUAUAAUAAACAAUUAUUAAUUAAAAAAUAUUCGAGUAGGCAUAAUCAUAUUAACAUGUAUUUAUAAAGUGCAACUAAAAUUGUAAAUUGGUUCAAGUAGAUUGCUACUUUACUAACUAUCCGAUAAAUAAAUAAAUAAUCAAUUAAUUAACUAAAACAUGUAUCAUAAUGAAAUAAUGUUACUAAUACGUAAACAACGAGGUUACAAAAUUAACACGACUAAAACAAGUCGACACGGAUUUGAGACUUAAAAUAUUUUGAAUAUUUUAUAUCUUGCAGAUUUAAUAGAAUGUGGCGUAAUCUGAUUGGUCAAAAGAUGGCCACACAGAGGACCAUAUGAGCAUGGACGCCGAGGAUCCAUGGGAUUUGGAGCGGACGCUACAGCGUGAAAUAGCUAUAUGGACCAACCGUAGGGCGUCAUGUGGCCUGGAGACUAAUUUUUCCCACUACUCACGUGAUGCAUGCCGGCAUGCAUGGGAGUCGUGCGUGCAUGGGUGGGUUCCAUUAGAAAACAAUUUCUUUUCUUUUUCCUAAACACACUCGCAACGACAGUUUCUUCUUCCUCACGCUCACGUAGCAAGCCAGGCACACAAGCAGAGCAGAGCUGUCCAUUGCUGCCACAUGAGCUCGUGCAGGGGCACGCUGACCUGCAUGGCAGCUUCGCCGGAGACCGGCUCGACAGCGGGCAGGGGUGGGCGAGCACUCGGCCACCGCUCAAUCGGCCCUUGGCCGCGACCAGCCAUGGCUGCUCGGCCACGCAUCCAAGGGCUGGGCGCUGCACGGUUCGAUGUCGGCCAUGUUAUAGCGUGCACAGGGAUAGGCGGAGGUGCGGUUGGCCGACGAAGGAUAGAAAUGAUGAACAGCUAGCGCAGAAACAAAAUAAAGAAAAAUGGCUCACCGGGGAAGGGCUCGCCGGAAGAAACAACUUCGUGCGUGGCAGGGACCCCUCGACACAGCGACGAGUGCGGCGAGACCUCCAGCUAGGAUAUCAGUCCUCUCUCCAUGGUGACAAAUGACGCGACGACGAGCUCUGCAUGGGACCUCUGCUCGACGGCGGGCGCGGCACGGGGACAACUGCAUGAUGCAAGGGGUGGUUGUUGCAAGGUUGAGUGACAAAGAGUAGGUGUCGACUGUUUGAAUGGACUAUGGGAGCGGCUAUAACGGACCAUUACUAAAUUCUUGGGUCGUGGCCAUAUAGUGCGGUAGAGGUUCUUCCCACACGAAAGAGAUGGUGGUGGGACUGCGGCGCAGCAGCCGAGCGCGGCGCUAGUGCUUCCCCCACGCGUGUGAGCAGGUAGAUAUGAAUAUACAUAUAUGUUUAUAUGAAUAUAUCUAUUUAUAUUAGAUCAUGUCCCAAUAAUUUAAUUUGAUAGUUUUUCCUUCUUUCGAGUGUGAACACCGCCAAGAUCAUUUUAGCAAACAGAAAGAAAAUGUACCUCGGCAUAAAAUGAAAUACACAUAUUUAUUUAAAAUAGCAUCUAUAAAU